CAAUACACUUAAGAUUGUUGAAAAACACCAAUUCAAAUGUUCAGAUUCACACAUUUAAUCAGAGUCAAUACCCUCGGCUGGUUGUUGAAGAUUUCUCGACAUUGCCAUGCAAAGGUCAAUCCGACAAGGAUGGAUGGUAUUAUUUUAGAAGCACCCAGCUGGCAGUCUGAGAUGAAACAGCAGCAGAAGCAGUAGCUUGGGCAGCAGAAACACAGCAAAAACAACAGCUGGCAGAAAUAGCAGCAGACAUAACCAACAGCAAGGAUAUGCAGGCCAAAACCAGCAUACCACGCCAGCAACACCUCAACAACAUUCCAGCAACAGAGCACCAGCAAUACAAGAACAACAAGCACCACCAACAGAUAUCAACAGCAGCAGGCUGGAGAAAGCAGGCUGUGGCAGAACCAACAGAUAGACAAGGAGCAGCUGACUAGCUGAAGACCAGCAAUGCCACAGCAACAGAAUCCAGCAUCAACAGCCAGCACCAGUACACCAGUGGCAGCACCUGCAACCAGCAAGAGGAUGGACAAAACCAGAACAGCCCCAACAGCAGCUUGCACACACAGAGCUGCAAAGCAGAAGCAAGCAAAGACUUUGAAUGCAUAUUAAUAAAUUUCUAAUUUAAUUUUGUAAUUUUCCUUAUAGGUAACA